GUGGGGAAUCUUGCGCAAUGGGCGAAAGCCUGACGCAGCCAUGCCGCGUGAAUGAUGAAGGUCUUAGGAUUGUAAAAUUCUUUCACCGGGGACGAUAAUGACGGUACCCGGAGAAGAAGCUCCGGCUAACUUCGUGCCAGCAGCCGCGGUAAUACGAAGGGGGCUAGCGUUGCUCGGAAUUACUGGGCGUAAAGGGCGCGUAGGCGGACAGCUUAGUCAGAGGUGAAAGCCCAGGGCUCAACCUUGGAAUUGCCUUUGAUACUGGCUGUCUUGAGUUUGGGAGAGGUGAGUGGAACUCCGAGUGUAGAGGUGAAAUUCGUAGAUAUUCGGAAGAACACCAGUGGCGAAGGCGACUCACUGGCCCAAUACUGACGCUGAGGCGCGAAAGCGUGGGGAGCAAACAGGAUUAGAAACCCGGGUAUCC
rnacentral:rRNA from 1 species